UGACGAGCGGCGGACGGGUGAGUAAUGUCUGGGAAACUGCCUGAUGGAGGGGGAUAACUACUGGAAACGGUAGCUAAUACCGCAUAACGUCGCAAGACCAAAGUGGGGGACCUUCGGGCCUCAUGCCAUCAGAUGUGCCCAGAUGGGAUUAGCUGGUAGGUGGGGUAACGGCUCACCUAGGCGACGAUCCCUAGCUGGUCUGAGAGGAUGACCAGCCACACUGGAACUGAGACACGGUCCAGACUCCUACGGGAGGCAGCAGUGGGGAAUAUUGCACAAUGGGCGCAAGCCUGAUGCAGCCAUGCCGCGUGUGUGAAGAAGGCCUUCGGGUUGUAAAGCACUUUCAGCGGGGAGGAAGGCGGUGAGGUUAAUAACCUCGUCGAUUGACGUUACCCGCAGAAGAAGCACCGGCUAACUCCGUGCCAGCAGCCGCGGUAAUACGGAGGGUGCAAGCGUUAAUCGGAAUUACUGGGCGUAAAGCGCACGCAGGCGGUCUGUCAAGUCGGAUGUGAAAUCCCCGGGCUCAACCUGGGAACUGCAUUCGAAACUGGCAGGCUAGAGUCUUGUAGAGGGGGGUAGAAUUCCAGGUGUAGCGGUGAAAUGCGUAGAGAUCUGGAGGAAUACCGGUGGCGAAGGCGGCCCCCUGGACAAAGACUGACGCUCAGGUGCGAAAGCGUGGGGAGCAAACAGGAUUAGAUACCCUGGUAGUCCACGCUGUAAACGAUGUCGAUUUGGAGGUUGUGCCCUUGAGGCGUGGCUUCCGGAGCUAACGCGUUAAAUCGACCGCCUGGGGAGUACGGCCGCAAGGUUAAAACUCAAAUGAAUUGACGGGGGCCCGCACAAGCGGUGGAGCAUGUGGUUUAAUUCGAUGCAACGCGAAGAACCUUACCUGGUCUUGACAUCCACAGAACUUUCCAGAGAUGGAUUGGUGCCUUCGGGAACUGUGAGACAGGUGCUGCAUGGCUGUCGUCAGCUCGUGUUGUGAAAUGUUGGGUUAAGUCCCG
rnacentral:rRNA from 1 species